UACGUAGGUUGCAAGCGUUGUUCGGAAUUACUGGGCGUAAAGCGUGCGCAGGCGGCUUCUCAAGUCAGGGGUGAAAGCCUAGAGCUCAACUCUGGAACUGCCUUUGAGACUGAGAGGCUUGAGUACGGGAGAGGUGAGUGGAAUUCCCAGUGUAGAGGUGAAAUUCGUAGAUAUUGGGAAGAACACCGGUGGCGAAGGCGGCUCACUGGCCCGAAACUGACGCUCAUGCACGACAGCGUGGGGAUCAAACAGG
rnacentral:rRNA from 1 species